UCAGGAGUUCCAAUAUAUUACUGAUAAGAACAUAGCUGCUAGAAAUUAGCUUGCAGAAUUGUAAGAGACCAUGAGAACUAAUCAUCAACUUUGUCUAUUUGAACAAGAGAGGGCACUUAGGAGUGAUUUAGAGAAAUGGAACUUGGUUGAGGAGAGUAUACUUAGCUGAUACGGGAAUAAUCACGUAGACGAGCUUAUGAGAGUGUGUGUUGGACCCGAGGCUCAGUGUGCACAAGUGAGGUGCAAAGAAGACCCAAAAUAUGCAGCAAAACCGUC
rnacentral:lncRNA from 1 species